GGCGCGGACCCUGGGCCCCGACCCCGCGGUCGCCGGGGCUCCCCUUCCUCUGUCCCAGUGCGCCCAGCCCCGCGCUCCGCACCCGGGCACCCCCGCGGGGUUCUCCUGAGUUCCUGGAGCUCCCGGGGCUGGCGCUCACGCCGUGAGAGGGAAAAGAGAGGUUAAAACCAAGACAUGGACAAAGCCUCCGAAUGAAGGCAGCCCUUUAAAUGGAAUAAAUUUGGUUUCAUGGCACAUUAAUGGGGUGUCUUCUCUCCGAAGACACAGAGACAACUACAGUAGGUCUGGGGGCCGUCAGGGAUUGGAGGAACGAAGGUGCACUGCUCAGCAUUCUCCAAGAAGAUCAUUAAGGCAGACCCUACGUGUUAAAUUUCAAUCAGUUUCAUUGAGCAAAUAUGCUGUUAAAUAGAGACUGCUGUGUGCUGCGUCAGUGUGCCUUAUGGGCAAAUGUGAUGGUGACUAUAAAUGCAGACCAAGCAGUCCUUCCCACACUGUGUACACAAAGAAAGGAGCUCUGGAACUGGGAGCCAGGACAUCUGCAGGAGGAGAAUUCUGAAGUGAAAGGAGGCCUGGAUAUUGGUUGCAAGGCCUUGUCCCUGGAGCCUGGAUGCUCUCAUACCUUCUACAUCUGGGCCUCUGGGUCCAGGACAGUGCCAGGGAGAGUUCAUAGAAACAAAUGUGUUGAAGACCUUAGCGGUUGUCUGACUCUGAGACAGUUACCUGGCCACUCUUAAGUUUCCUCAUUUUUUUUUUAAUUUUACUUUAAGUUGCGGGAUACAUGUGCAGAACGUGCAGGUUUGUUACAUAGGUAUGCAUGUGCCAUGGUGGUUUGCUGCACCUGUCAACCUUUCAUCUAGGUUUUAAGCCCCUCAUGCAUUAGAUAUUUGUCCUAAUGCUCUCCUUCCCCUUGGCCCCCUGUCAGGUCCUGGUGUGUGUGUUGUCUGGCCCCCACCGUGUCCAUGUGUUCCUAUUGUUCAUCUCCCAUUUAUGAGUGAGAAUAUGUGGUGUUUGGCUUUCUCUUCCUGUGUUAGUUUGCUGAGGAUGAUGGUUUCCAGCUUCAUCCAUGUCCCUGCAGAGGACAUGAUCUCAUCCUUUUCAUGGCUGCAUAGUAUUCCGUGUUGUGUAUAUACCACAUUUUCUUUAUCCAGUCUUUCAUUGGUGGACAUUUGGGUUGGUUUCAUGUCUUUGCUAUUGUAAAUAGUGCUGCAAUAAACAUUAUGUGUGCAUGUGUCUUUAUAGUAAAAUGAUUUCUAUUCCUU
rnacentral:lncRNA from 1 species